rnacentral:rRNA from 1 species
UACGUAGGGUGCGAGCGUUAAUCGGAAUUACUGGGCGUAAAGCGUGCGCAGGCGGUUUUGUAAGUCAGAUGUGAAAGCCCCGGGCUCAACCUGGGAACUGCGUUUGAAACUGCAAGGCUAGAGUGUAGCAGAGGGGGGUAGAAUUCCACGUGUAGCAGUGAAAUGCGUAGAGAUGUGGAGGAAUACCAAUGGCGAAGGCAGCCCCCUGGGUUAACACUGACGCUCAUGCACGAAAGCG